UACGGGGGGGGCAAGCGUUGUUCGGAAUUACUGGGCGUAAAGGGCUCGUAGGCGGCCAACUAAGUCGGACGUGAAAUCCCCAGGCUCAACCUGGGAACUGCGUCCGAUACUGGAUGGCUUGAAUUCGGGAGAGGGAUGCAGAAUUCCAGGUGUAGCGGUGAAAUGCGUAGAUAUCUGGAGGAAUACCGGUGGCGAAGGCGGCGUUCUGGGCUGCAACUGACACUGAGGAACGAAAGCCAGGGGAGCAAACGGG
rnacentral:rRNA from 1 species